rnacentral:rRNA from 1 species
UACGUAGGGGGGCUAGCGUUGUCCGGAAUCAUUGGGCGUAAAGAGCGUGUAGGCGGUCCGGUAAGUCCGCUGUGAAAGUCGGGGGGCUCAACCCUCGAAUGCCGGUGGAUACUGUCGGGCUAGAGUGCGGAAGAGGCGAGUGGAAUUCCUGGUGUAGCGGUGAAAUGCGCAGAUAUCAGGAGGAACACCGGUGGCGAAGGCGGCGAUCUGGGUAGAUACUGACGCUGAGGUGCGAAAGCGUGGGGGAGCAAACAGG